CAGCCGUAAACUAUGCGCGUUAGGUGUAUCGGUGACCACGAGUUACCGAGGUGCCGAAGGGAAACCGUGAAACGUGCCGCCUGGGAAGUACGGUCGCAAGGCUGAAACUUAAAGGAAUUGGCGGGGGAGCACCACAACAGGUGGAGCCUGCGGUUUAAUUGGACUCAACGCCGGGAAGCUCACCGGAUAGGACAGCAGAAUGAUUGCCGGGCUGAAGACCCUGCAUGACUAGCUGAGAGGGGGUGCAUGGCGUAGACGUCU
rnacentral:rRNA from 1 species